AUUUUGAGCUGUCACUCCACUGAGGUCCUUGAUGUAGGCCCAGGAACGGCUGUAAAUAUGGUUUUCCAAACGCCCAGCAAUUUUAACGCUUUCUCUUGAGACUGAGUCAGCUUCCCCUCCUGAGAGUCAGUUAAAGCCACCAAAGAUCUCAGCACUUCCACCACGUUCAUUACAGCAACGUGGGCAUAGCACAGCACAGACAGGCCCGUGUCUCUCUGGCUGCCACGUUCUC
rnacentral:lncRNA from 1 species